rfam:Rattus norvegicus chromosome 17, whole genome shotgun sequence.
GCUUUUGUAGCAUAGUGGUCAUCGUGCUUGCCUAACACGUGAGAGGUCCCUAGUUCAAAACCAGAUGGAAGCA